rnacentral:misc_RNA from 1 species
AACGCAUAUUGCGCCCUUUGGUAUUCCGAAGGGCAUGCCUGUCCGAGCGUCAUUAUCAACCAUCAAGCCUGGCUUGUCGUUGGACUACUUUUGCGGCUGAAACAUGCGGUAGGUCCGCAAGAUAAUGACGGUGUCGUGUUUGACCCUAAAUGCAACGAGCUUUUUUAGAGCACGCAUUGAAGUGGUCGAGCGAUCCCGGUCUUAACCAUUAUUUUCUAAGAUUGACCUCGGAUCAGGUAGGAAUACCCGCUGAACUUAA